AAAGGACCAUCCUGGUAUGAUUCAAGUCUUUUUAGGUCAAAGUGGAGGAACUGACGUGGAUGGACAUGAACUCCCUCGUCUUGUUUAUGUUUCUCGUGAAAAAAGGCCUGGUUUCCAGCAUCACAAAAAGGCUGGUGCUAUGAAUGCCCUGGUAAACAAGGAAACUUCUGUUAUUUGCUAGUUAAUACUCCAGAAUUACAAGUCACAUUUUUUACACAUCUACUCUAAAACAUUAUGCGCACUACAUCAAAUGUUUCAACAAGAAAUUUUGCAGAAUCACAAAACAUUCUUCAAUGUGAACCUUGCAGAUUCGCGUUUCAGGAGUACUUACCAAUGCACCAUUUAUGCUUAACUUGGAUUGUGAUCAUUACCUUAACAACAGCAAGGCUGUCAGAGAGGCCAUGUGCUUCUUGAUGGACCCACAGAUGGGCAAAAAAGUUUGCUUCGUCCAGUUUCCUCAAAGAUUUGACGGAAUAGACAAGCACGAUAGAUAUGCCAACCGAAACACAGUCUUCUUUGAUGUAAGAUUAAGAAAAAUAUGCCACAUAAGGUCACUAAAUAGAUACUAAUUCUUGGAAUUUAUAUGAGAUUAGUUUAUCAUGUACUUAUAUCUACUACUUGGGCAGAUUAAUAUGAAAGGCCUAGAUGGAAUACAAGGUCCAGUAUAUGUUGGCACAGGAUGUGUCUUCAGAAGGCAAGCUUUAUAUGGCUACAAUCCUCCGAAACGUGCCAAGCGUCCAAGAAUGGUGAGCUGCGACUGUUGUCCAUGUUUCGGACGCAAAAAGAAGCUUGACAAAUAUAAAUCUGAAGUCAAUGGAGAUGCAGCCAAUGGUCAAGGUUUACAUAUAUCCACAUUCCAAAUAUUUUCAAGUUUCAACUUUCAAAUAACAAAGGAGACUCUUUAAUAAGAUCCCCAUUGAGAUUAAUUUACCCUUAUUUCUCUUUCUCUUUUCUAUAUCUCCUCAGGAUUUGAAGAUGACAAUGAGCUACUAAUGUCCCAGAUGAACUUUGAAAAGAAAUUUGGUCAAUCUGCAAUUUUUGUGACUUCGACUUUAAUGAUUGAAGGUGGGGUUCCACCUUCGUCGAGCCCAGCAGCCUUGUUGAAGGAAGCUAUCCAUGUGAUCAGCUGUGGCUACGAAGAUAAAACAGAAUGGGGUUUGGAGGUAAUGUUAAUCUUUGUUUCUGUGCUUGCACGAAAGAACUUGGUUGACAAGGGAUAAACAACUAAUAAGAAACCAUAACACUUCUCAGAGUUCGACUAUUACCUUACAGAAGGUCUUUGGAAAACCAACUCUAACACAAAACAACAGUGAUUAUAGAAAACAUGCUAGUGCUUUUGAUACAAGCAUAUUUCAAUUGUGAAACAUGAAGGAUAUAAAUGCGUAAAACUUUCUGGAUCUAUAGAUAGCAUGAGAUACAUAACAAUCAUAAUCUAUUCUAAUGUAAUCACCUUUCUGAAUAUCUUUGAUUGAGGUAACUAUUUUUGAACUUGCAGCUGGGCUGGAUAUACGGCUCUAUCACGGAGGAUAUCUUAACAGGUUUCAAGAUGCACUGCCGUGGUUGGAGGUCAGUCUAUUGUAUGCCUAAAUUAGCUGCAUU
rnacentral:lncRNA from 1 species